GCCGGCGUGGCGGAAUUGGCAGACGCGCUGGACUCAAAAUCCAGUUCCCGUUGAGGGAGUAUCGGUUCGACCCCGAUCGCCGGUACUA
rnacentral:tRNA from 22 species